rnacentral:siRNA from 1 species
UCGUAGCCUAGAUUUGAUUUU